rnacentral:rRNA from 1 species
UACGAGGGGCUCGAGCGUUAUCCGGAAUUAUUGGGCGUAAAGAGCUCGUAGGCGGUUUGCUGCGUCUGCCGUGAAAGUCCGGGGCUCAACUCCGGAUCUGCGGUGGGUACGGGCAGACUAGAGUGCAGUAGGGGAGACUGGAAUUCCUGGUGUAGCGGUGAAAUGCGCAGAUAUCAGGAGGAACACCGAUGGCGAAGGCAGCCCCCUGGGCUAACACUGACGCUCAGGCACGAAAGCGUGGGGAGCAAACAGG